ACAGCCGACUGUUUGUUACAAUCAUUUAACAAACUGAACCGAAACCACGAAGCUUCAGCCGGACCCGCUGUGUUUCUGUCUGUGAUGGAAACGGUCGCUGAGGCUGUGUUUUUGUCUUUAGCUGGCUCCGGCUGUGCCUGUUAGCGUCGACAAAAGAAGGACCAGCAGCCAUCAGAGUGUCGGCGAGUGAAGGCGGUGAUGUCGUGUUACCGUGUUCUCUCAGCACCAACGAGAACAUCGAGAAAAACCUCUUUGACUGGAGAAAAGAUGACG